rnacentral:lncRNA from 1 species
CGGAUCACAGGAGGAGCCUGCAGCGGAGGAGCCUCCUCCUCCUCAGCAUCAGACCUAAAGGGAGUGUCCUGCCUGAAGGACCGGCUCAAGGUCGCACUAACAGCUCUUGCUAACUCCUGUUCCAGGCUGUUUAUCUGGGCCUCCAAGUACCCUGCUUGCGCCUGGAGGUCUCUCACCCCCAGGUCCUGCUCAAAGCUGUGCACUUGGGCCCCCAGGCAUGCGGCUUGCUCCGGAAGGUCCCUUACCUGUGGCACUGAGCAUGUACUUCCUGCAGUGCAGUUAGAAAUGCCCAUCCGACUCUGCUUGCAAAGAAUUCAGAUGUCUACUGCAGUCAUGGAGAAGAUGCAUGUAUUCAUCCAAGAAUGUGGAUUUGCUAGCCAUUUGCAGUGAAAGCAAAAAGUGAUAAAACCA